CCCCUUUCCCCAGCUCGAAGGAAUUGGCGCCUCCGUUAGUGACCCCGAGUAGUGAUGCAAUGAUUUUCCAAAAAUGAAGAAGCUUGUCGUUCAACCGAUGACAAAACACCUAGAGUACGUGCAAAAAUUACUACUUCCUCAUUUACAGCAAACUCAUUGAUACGACAAAGGCAAAAUUUUGGGUGGCAAGCUUCAAAGUUUGAUUA